rnacentral:rRNA from 1 species
AAUGGGCGCAGCCUGAUCCAGCCAUUCCGCGUGAGUGAAGAAGGCCUUCGGGUUGUAAAGCUCUUUCGCAAGGGAAGAAAACUUACCUACUAAUAUGGGUGAGGAUGACGGUACCUUGAUAAGAAGCACCGGCUAACUUCAUGCCAGCAGCCGCGGUAAU